GACGAACGCUGGCGGCGUGCUUAACACAUGCAAGUCGAACGGAAAGGCCCUGCUGUUGUGGGGUGCUCGAGUGGCGAACGGGUGAGUAACACGUGAGUAACCUGGCCUUGACUUUGGGAUAACUUCAGGAAACUGGGGCUAAUACCGGAUAGGAGCUCCUGCUGCAUGGUGGGGGCUGGAAAGUUUCGUCGGUUGGGGAUGGACGCGCGGCUUAUCAGCUUGUUGGUGGGGUAGUGGCUUACCAAGGCUUUGACGGGUAGCCGGCCUGAGAGGGUGACCGGCCACAUUGGGACUGAGAUACGGCCCAGACUCCUACGGGAGGCAGCAGUGGGUAAUAUUGCACGAUGGGCGGAAGCCUGAGGCAUCAACGCCGCGUGCGGGAUGGCGGCCUUCGGGUUGUUAACCGCUUUCGCCUGUGACGAAGCGUGAGUGACGGUAAUGGGUAAAGAAGCACCGGCUAACUACGG
rnacentral:rRNA from 1 species